rnacentral:rRNA from 1 species
UACGAAGGGGGCUAGCGUUGUUCGGAAUUACUGGGCGUAAAGCGCGCGUAGGCGGUGAUCUUUGUCAGAGGUGAAAGCCCGGGGCUCAACUCCGGAAUUGCCUUUAAGACUGCAUCGCUAGAAUUGUGGAGAGGUGAGUGGAAUUCCGAGUGUAGAGGUGAAAUUCGUAGAUAUUCGGAAGAACACCAGUGGCGAAGGCGACUCACUGGACACAUAUUGACGCUGAGGUGCGAAAGCGUGGGGAGCAAACAGG